GACGAACGCUGGCGGCGUGCCUAAUACAUGCAAGUCGAACGGUCUUUUCUAUGGAAGCUUGCUUCCACUGAGAAGAUAGUGGCGAACGGGUGAGUAACACGCGGGUAACCUGCCCAUAAGAGGGGGAUAACAUCCGGAAACGGGUGCUAAUACCGCAUAGUUUUCUUGAUCGCAUGAUCGAGAAAGGAAAGACGGCCUUUGUGCUGUCGCUUAUGGAUGGACCCGAGGCGUAUUAGUUAGUUGGUGAGGUAACGGCUCACCAAGAAGAUGAUACGUGGCCGACCGUGGAGACUGAGCGGCCACAUUGGGACUGAGACACGGCCCAAAGUCCUACGGGAGGCAGCAGUAGGGAAUCUUCCGCAAUGGCCGAAAGUCUGACGGAGCAACGCCGCGUCAGUGAAGAAGGUUUUCGGAUCGUAAAACUCUGUUGUCAGAGAAUAACAAGUCGGAGAGUAACUGCUCCGGCCUUGACGGUAUCUGACCAGAAAGCCACGGCUAACUACGUGCCAGCCGCCGCAGUAA
rnacentral:rRNA from 1 species